AUUGAACGCUGGCGGCAGGCCUAACACAUGCAAGUCGAGCGGAUGAAGGGAGCUUGCUCCUGGAUUCAGCGGCGGACGGGUGAGUAAUGCCUAGGAAUCUGCCUGGUAGUGGGGGAUAACGUCCGGAAACGGGCGCUAAUACCGCAUACGUCCUGAGGGAGAAAGUGGGGGAUCUUCGGACCUCACGCUAUCAGAUGAGCCUAGGUCGGAUUAGCUAGUUGGUGGGGUAAAGACCUACCAAGGCGACGAUCCGUAGCUGGUCUGAGAGGAUGAUCAGUCACAUUGGAGCGGAGACAGGGACCAGGGUCCUGCGAGAGGGAGCAGUGGGGAAUAGUGGACAGUAGGGGGAAGCCUUGUCCAGCCAGGGCGAGUGUGUGAAGAAGGUGUUCGGAGUGUAAAGAAGGUUAAGUUGGGGGGAAGGGCAGUAGGUUAAUACCUUGCGGUUUUGACGGUAACGGCAGAAUAAGCACCGGCUAACUUCGUG
rnacentral:rRNA from 1 species